UUUGGAAUCAUGUCAUGGUUGAUGUGUUUGGAUAUUUUAAUUAGUCCCAUUUUGAAGUGUUAAGUCUAUGAAGCAUAUACAGGAAGCUGACACCCGACACUGACACGGAAGCAUAGAGGCGAUUUAAUGUAACUACAUAUGUUGACACAAGAAACGUCUUAAAUUCGAAGUUUUAGUGCUAUGUUGGUUUAGGUUGUUUGGGAAUCUUGUUCUGUGUUGUGUUGUUUGUUGCAGGUUAAGUGUUGAAAACAAAUUAGCUAAUAGCAAAUUCUAUCAUUUUAUUAAAAGAAAAUUGAAGAGUGGAAUGAGUAGUAUUAGCAUGAUCUCAGUGUCUUGUUAUAUUUAAAGUGUUGAAAACAAAUUAGCUAAUAGCAAAUUCUAUCAUUUUAUUAAAAGAAAAUUGAAGAGUGGAAUGAGUAGUAUUAGCAUGAUCUCAGUGUCUUGUUAUAUUUUUUCAAAUUUAGACAACUAUCCUUCCUUUUCUAACACUAAAUUAACUAGUGAGAUUUUGUGAUUGUUUGUAGCACAACCUUUGUCAUUAUCAUUACUAGGUUUUGACAUCUAGUCUUGGUUUGUAUUAUCAAUGGGUUGAUUUGAAAUUCAAGGUUUAAUAUAUUUGGAUA
rnacentral:lncRNA from 1 species